AUUGAACGCUGGCGGCAUGCCUUACACAUGCAAGUCGAACGGCAGCACGGGGGCAACCCUGGUGGCGAGUGGCGAACGGGUGAGUAACAUAUCGGAACAUACCCUAGAGUGGGGGAUAACGUAGCGAAAGUUACGCUAAUACCGCAUACGAUCUAAGGAUGAAAGUGGGGGAUCUUCGGACCUCAUGCUCAUGGAGUGGCCGAUAUCUGAUUAGCUAGUUGGUGAGGUAAAGGCUCACCAAGGCGACGAUCAGUAGCUGGUUUGAGAGAACGACCAGCCACACUGGAACUGAGACACGGUCCAGACUCCUACGGGAGGCAGCAGUGGGGAAUUUUGGACAAUGGGCGCAAGCCUGAUCCAGCCAUGCCGCGUGCGGGAAGAA
rnacentral:rRNA from 1 species